AUAACAGAGGUUCCUAGCCGAAACCCUCUAUAAAAAACUAGACAUGA
rnacentral:ncRNA from 2 species